AUUGAACGCUGGCGGCAGGCCUAACACAUGCAAGUCGAGCGGACGAAGGGAGCUUGCUCCUGGAUUCAGCGGCGGACGGGCGAGUAAUGCCUAGGAAUCUGCCCGGUAGUGGGGGAUAACGUCCGGAAACGGGCGCUAAUACCGCAUACGUCCUGAGGGAGAAAGUGGGGGAUCUUCGGACCUCACGCUAUCAGAUGAGCCUAGGUCGGAUUAGCUAGUUGGUGGGGUAAAGGCCUACCAAGGCGACGAUCCGUAACUGGUCUGAGAGGAUGAUCAGUCACACUGGAACUGAGACACGGUCCAGACUCCUACGGGAGGCAGCAGUGGGGAAUAUUGGACAAUGGGCGAAAGCCUGAUCCAGCCAUGCCGCGUGUGUGAAGAAGGUCUUCGGAUUGUAAAGCACUUUAAGUUGGGAGGAAGGGCAGUAAGUUAAUACCUUGCUGUUUUGACGUUACCAACAGAAUAAGCACCGGCUAACUUCGUG
rnacentral:rRNA from 1 species